AUUGAACGCUGGCGGCAGGCCUAACACAUGCAAGUCGAACGAGUGGCGGACGUGUGAGUAAUUUCUGGGAAACUGCCUGGUGGAGGGGGAUAACUACUGGAAACGGUAGCUAAUACCGCCUACAGUCACAUGUGCCCAUUUGGGAUUAGCUAGUUGGUGGGGUAACGGCUCACAAGGGAGACGAGCCCUAGCUGGUCUGAGAGGAUGAACGGCCACACUGGAACUGAGACACGGUCCAGACUCCUACGGGAGGCAGCAGUGUGGAAUAUUGCACAAUGGGCGCAAGCCUGAUGUAGCCAUGCCGCGUGUAUGAAGAAGGCCUUCGGGUUGUAAAGCACUUUCAGCGGGGAGGCGUUACCCGCAGAAGAAGCACCGGCUAACUCCGUGCCAGCAGCCGCGGUAAUAC
rnacentral:rRNA from 1 species